GACGAACGCUGGCGGCGUGCCUAAUACAUGCAAGUAGAACGCAGUCGCGAACGGGUGAGUAACGCGAAGGUAACUGCCUCAUAGCGGGGGAUAACUAUUGGCAACGAUAGCUAAUACCGCAUAACGUGCGAUGGACCUGCGUUGUAUUAGCUAGUUGGUGAGGUAAAGGCUCACCAGGGCGACGAUACAUAGCCGACCUGAGAGGGUGAUCGGCCACACUGGGACUGAGACACGGCCCAGACGCACACGGGAGGCAGCCGAAGGGAAUCUUCGGGAAUGGACGGAAGUCUGACCGAGAAACGCCGCGUGAGUGAGGAAGGUUUUCGGGUCGUAAAGCUCUGUUGUUAGAGUGGCGGUAACGAACCAGAAAGGGACGGCUAACUACGUGCCAGCAGCCGCGGUAAUAC
rnacentral:rRNA from 1 species